rnacentral:rRNA from 1 species
ACGCUGGCGGCAUGCUUUACACAUGCAAGUCGGACGGCAGCACAGAGAAGCUUGCUUCUUGGGUGGCGAGUGGCGAACGGGUGAGUAAUAUAUCGGAACGUACCGAGUAAUGGGGGAUAACUAAUCGAAAGAUUAGCUAAUACCGCAUAUUCUCUGAGGAGGAAAGCAGGGGACCUUCGGGCCUUGCGUUAUUCGAGCGGCCGAUAUCUGAUUAGCUAGUUGGUGGGGUAAAGGCCUACCAAGGCGACGAUCAGUAGCGGGUCUGAGAGGAUGAUCCGCCACACUGGGACUGAGACACGGCCCAGACUCCUACGGGAGGCAGCAGUGGGGAAUUUUGGACAAUGGGCGCAAGCCUGAUCCAGCCAUGCCGCGUGUCUGAAGAAGGCCUUCGGGUUGUAAAGGACUUUUGUCAGGGAAGAAAAGGCUGUUGCUAAUAUCGACAGCUGAUGACGGUACCUGAAGAAUAAGCACCGGCUAACUACGUGCCAGCAGCCGCGGUAAUACGUAGGGUGCGAGCGUUAAUCGGAAUUACUGGGCGUAAAGCGAGCGCAGACGGUUACUUAAGCAGGAUGUGAAAUCCCCGGGCUCAACCUGGGAACUGCGUUCUGAACUGGGUGACUAGAGUGUGUCAGAGGGAGGUAGAAUUCCACGUGUAGCAGUGAAAUGCGUAGAGAUGUGGAGGAAUACCGAUGGCGAAGGCAGCCUCCUGGGAUAACACUGACGUUCAUGCUCGAAAGCGUGGGUAGCAAACAGGAUUAGGUACCCUGGUAGUCCACGCCCUAAACGAUGUCAAUUAGCUGUUGGGCAACUUGAUUGCUUAGUAGCGUAGCUAACGCGUGAAAUUGACCGCCUGGGGAGUACGGUCGCAAGAUUAAAACUCAAAGGAAUUGACGGGGACCCGCACAAGCG